UAAAACUGAGAAGAGAGGAAAAUCCACCAAGCCUCAAUCUAGGACCAGUGUUAGGGUCAAAGCUAAAACUGAGAAGACAGGAAACUCAGCCAAGGCUGCACCAGCAAGUAGGCCUGAGGCAAUUUCUCAACCUGUGAACAAUAGGAAGUCAGUCAAAGCUAAGGAGACUAUUGCGCAGCUGAGAGAAUAGACAACUACGACCCCAAAAACAACACGUAAUAUUACAUAAAGUGGCAAGGAUAUGAUGCGUCCCACAACUCAUGGGUGAAAGCGGAAGAGGUAACUUCUCCUCUCAUCUCUUCUUACAAAGAGAAAUUAGUACAAUGGACAACAAAUCAAGUGGUCUCAGCUGUUGACACUGGUGGAGGGGGACCUACACUUGACUAGAAAUAAUGAUGGAGAUGUGGGAGGUCUGCGUCAGCUCUCCAAGAUUCGCCAUGAACAUCUGUAUCUUACGCCGUCAUUGAGAAUGAAGGUCAGCUUGGCUGCACAGACAAUCUGUGGCUGUUGUAUACAUAUAUCAUUCAAUAAACGUGACGUUUUUCAUAUUAUUAGAUACA